rnacentral:rRNA from 1 species
GACGAACGCUGGCGGCGUGCUUAACACAUGCAAGUCGAACGGAAAGGCCCUGCUUUUGUGGGGUGCUCGAGUGGCGAACGGGUGAGUAACACGUGAGUAACCUGCCCUUGACUUUGGGAUAACUUCAGGAAACUGGGGCUAAUACCGGAUAGGAGCUCCUGCUGCAUGGUGGGGGUUGGAAAGUUUCGGCGGUUGGGGAUGGACUCGCGGCUUAUCAGCUUGUUGGUGGGGUAGUGGCUUACCAAGGCUUUGACGGGUAGCCGGCCUGAGAGGGUGACCGGCCACAUUGGGACUGAGAUACGGCCCAGACUCCUACGGGAGGCAGCAGUGGGGAAUAUUGCACAAUGGGCGGAAGCCUGAUGCAGCAACGCCGCGUGCGGGAUGACGGCCUUCGGGUUGUAAACCGCUUUCGCCUGUGGCGAAGCGUGAGUGACGGUAAUGGGUAAAGAAGCACCGGCUAACUACGCG